GGGUUGUGAGGUUAAGCGACUAAGCGUACACGGUGGAUGCCCUGGCAGUCAGAGGCGAUGAAGGGCGUGCUAAUCUGCGAUAAGCGCCGGUAAGGUGAUAUGAACCGUUAUAACCGGCGAUACCCGAAUGGGGAAACCCAGUGUGUUUCGACACAUUAUCAUUAACUGAAUCCAUAGGUUAAUGAGGCGAACCGGGGGAACUGAAACAUCUAAGUACCCCGAGGAAAAGAAAUCAACCGAGAUUCCCCCAGUAGCGGCGAGCGAACGGGGAGGAGCCCAGAGCCUGAAUCAGCAUGUGUGUUAGUGGAAGCGUCUGGAAAGGCGCGCGAUACAGGGUGACAGCCCCGUACACAAAAGCGCAUGUGCUGUGAGCUCGAUGAGUAGGGCGGGACACGUGGUAUCCUGUCUGAAUAUGGG
rnacentral:rRNA from 1 species